CCGGAAUCUGCUUGGGACUUCGGGUCGGAGGUCUGUGAGCUCCGGAGGCCGCGGGGAAACUGAUUGUCCGUGGGCCAGUGAGACCAAAGAGAAACUUUAUCAGAAAGGAUGGAGUUGGGACAAGGAAAACUUCUCAGGACUGGACUGAAUGCAUUAUAUCAAGCAAUACACCCAAUUCACGGCCUUGCUUGGACUGAUGGGACUCGGGUAGUCCUGACCAGUUUACAGCUUCACGGUGGAGAGGCCAAAUUGGGGGACUCAAUGGUCCUUGGACAGUUUGAACAGGUGUAUGGGGUGUCCUGGGCCCCGCCUGGUGCCACUGACAUACCCACUCUGCUCGCUGUCCAGCACAGGAAGUAUGUCAUCGUGUGGCAGCUGUGUCCUAGCCCUGCAGAGACAAGCAAGUGGCUGAUAUCUCAGCCCUGUGAGAUCAGACAGUCAUGCCCUGUCCUUCCCCAGGGCUGUGUGUGGCACCCAGAAAGUGCCAUCCUGACUGUGUUGACUGCUUGGGAUGUCUCCGUGUUCUACAACGUCCACUGUGACAGUUCCCAAGUCAAAGUGGACGUCAGCACCCAAGGCCUCAUUCACUGUGCAUGUUGGACCCAGGAUGGCCAGAGGCUGGUGGUGGCAGCAGGCAGCAGCCUACAUUCUUACAUUUGGGACAAUGUUCAGAAGACCCUUCAUAGGUGCUCCCUCUGUCCCAUGUUUGAUGUGGACAGCUACGUGCGCUCAAUUGGAGCCACUGUGGACUCACAGGUCGUUAUAGCCACUGAGCUUCCGCUGGAUAAGAUUUGUAGGUUAAAUGCUUGUGGAACUUUUGACGUUCCCCCUAGUGGUGAAGACACUUGCCUGUAUGCUUUACCAGUUACUGAUCCAGUUUCCUCUGAAACAAACUCUGAAACACCAGUGUCGUCAUCCUUUUCUGAGCCUCUGGAUCUAACUCAUAUCCGCUUCAACAGAACUAAAUCUGAGGGUAGUUCUCUUACUUGUCUAAGGAAAAAAGACUACUUGACAGGAACUGGCCUGGAUUCUUCACAUUUGGUCCUCUUGACCUUUGAGAAGGAGGUUACCUGCAACAGAAAAGUAAUCAUUCCAGGCAUUCUGGUUCCUGAUCUAAUAGCAUUUAAUCUUAAAGCACAAGCAGUCGCAGUGGCUUCCAAUACAUCUAAUGUAAUUUUUAUCUAUUCUGUCAUUCCGUUAUUAAUGCCAAACAUCCAGCAGAUUCAGUUAGAGAGUAAUGAAAGACCAAAAGGCAUAUGUUUCUUGACAGAUAAAUUACUGUUAAUUUUGGUGGGAAGACAAAAGUCCACUGACUCGGCAUUUCUUCCUUCUUCAAAAUCUGAUCAGUAUAUGAUUCGUUUGAUUGUUAGAGAGGUAAUGCUGAAAGAAGACUUUCCAGUGACACUGAGUGAAAACCAGAAUGAUAACUCUUCUUUCAGUACUCUGUUAAAUAAAACAAAUAUAGAAAAGCUAAUUGAAGAUCUUUCACCAGAAUUUUUUAACCAAAGCGGAGGGCUCUUGUUCACAGCUAAUAGCAGCAGUCAAAGUGGAAGGCCUGGAAGAACCCUUAUUAAGGAAACAGAAAGUCCUGCAUCCAGCAUCUGUGAUGGCUCCACAGUCCUAGAAACUCUAGAUGCCGGGCCUGUUAACUCGUCAGUAACACUGCCCAGACCCAGCGGUACACCAGCCCACAUCAGUACCACAGAACCUCCUAACUUAGAACGGGAAGAGGAAACGUACCGGCUGUCUAAGGAACUGGAAAUUGUAUCUAGGAACCUGAGUGAGGUGCAGCGAUGUCUUUCUGAACUCAGUGACUUUCUGCACAAUGGAAAGAAAUCCUCUCCAGUGUACCCACUCUCUCAGGAUCUGCCUUAUGUUCACAUCACUUGCCAGAAAUCUCAUUUUUUAGGUCCUGUUGUUGAAAAAAGAAUGAUGCUUCUCUGCAAUGGCAAGCUAAGACUCAGCACAGUCCAGCAGACUUUCGGCCUCUCUCUUGUUGAAAUGCUGCAUGACUUCCACUGGAUCCUUCUCUGUGCGGACAGUGAAGGCUUCGUCCCCUUAACUUUCACAGCCACACAGGAAAUAAUCAUAAGAGAUGGCAGGUCAGAUGACUUCUGAAACUCUGUCUCAGAGCACUGAUAGCAGUCCUUCUCUUGGAGUCUUCAGUGAUGGAUUCCCCAAAGCGGAGAUACCACCAGCUCUUCUGACCAUACUGGCAGUGUAGUCUGAUACUUACCAGCAGAGUGUGUGCCGCACAGCCUCGCAGAUGAGGCCCUUACUAACAAGAGCUGUUUUCCACGGUGGACACUCCCCAGCUGGGAUCUGCAGGGCCGCUGGGAGGUGAAGCGCUUGCCAUGGCUGGCUCCGCCACUCUUCCCCCCAGGCUGCUGUUCCCUGCUCUGCAGCAGAGCCCAGUCUUUGUUAGAUGGCUCAGAAAGCAGUUAUUUAUGUAUUCAUGACUGUGUGGUUUUGUCUAAGGGCAGAAUUCCCGGCACAAAACAAUAUUAUGGUGCCAUAUGGAUUGUGUUUUAUGGUUUCUCUGAGGCUUUCUGUCCCUUGCCCAAAACAGCAUUAAAGCUCUUAGAAGCACUUAAAAGGUACCUCAGGAUUGUAAUAGAUCUUGGCUUCAAGUUGAGUGUGAGGAGUGCUGGAGAACAUCUGCUCCAGCGUCUCUUUUUACCCUAAAUGAGCAGGAAUGCACAGAGCUCAAAGGAAAACAAAAAAUCGAUUCAUUUCUGCUCCCAGGACUACCUCGAACAGGAAGUAGUUCUGAUGUUGGAUUUAAACUGAACCCUCUCACUUCCCUAGAAAAUUCUGGCUGACAAAAAAGUCCAGGAACUCCUGAAAUCUGGCCCUGGGCAAAUUUCAAAUGAUACUUAAAGUGCUUUGACUUCUUCUGGGCCCCACUGAAGCGUGUCCUGAUGGUACUGGUACAGUGCCAAGCACAGGUGGCACGCAGAAUUUCCCAGACCAAGGAUUGAACUUAGGCCCGCUGCAUUGGAAGUGAAGAGUGCCA